UACGGAGGAUCCAAGCGUUAUCCGGAAUCAUUGGGCGUAAAGAGCGUGUAGGCGGCUCGAUAAGUCUGCUGUGAAAGUCCAGGGCUCAACCCUGGAAGGCCGGUGGAAACUGUCGGGCUAGAGUCCGGAAGAGGCGAGUGGAAUUCCCGGUGUAGCGGUGAAAUGCGCAGAUAUCGGGAGGAACACCAAUGGCGAAGGCAGCUCGCUGGGACGGUACUGACGCUGAGACGCGAAAGCGUGGGGAGCAAACAGG
rnacentral:rRNA from 1 species